UCUCUACUUGCGUAGGCAGUCUCACUAGAGUCCUCAACUUAAUGCUAGCAACUAGUGACAGGGGUUGCGCUCGUUGCAGGACUUAACCUAACACCUCACGGCACGAGCUGACGACAACCAUGCAGCACCUUGGAAGCGGCCCGAAGGAGAGCCUAUUUCUAAGCCUGUCCACUCCCAUUUAAGUCUUGGUAAGGUUCCUCGCGUAUCAUCGAAUUAAACCACAUAAUCCACCGCUUGUGCGGGCCCCCGUCAAUUCCUUUGAGUUUCAUUCUUGCGAACGUACUCCCCAGGUGGCUAACUUAUCACUUUCGCUUAGUCUCUGAAGCCGAAACCCCAAAAACGAGUUAGCAUCGUUUACGGCGUGGACUAC
rnacentral:misc_RNA from 1 species